UACAAAGGGAGAGAAUAAUUUUGUCAGUAGGCAAGGCCCUGUACUACCUGCUUGGACUCAACUGUCUGAUGUUUUUGGUCCGGAGCUCUAAAUCCUUAUUGCCGCAAUCAUUUUCUUCACUUUGGGUAACACUUUACUUAUUAGCACAGGCCUUUCAGCUGGGCCCUUGGGCUUGCUGCCUCACUAUCAGAACAUUCUUUCCACCUCCUGCCCAGAAGCUGGGGAAGAAGGCUGAACAAUUGGCCUGGGAAGAAGUUCAGAUUCACAACAGCUGAGUAAAAAAAGAGCUAGAAGCCCUGCUCCAAGGAUAAGCAAGAACUCAGCUAUAACAUCAGAAUGAAGGUCUGCUCCCCUUCUUCAUAGACAUCUUCACAAAUCAGCAAUGAAAGAGAGCAUUUAUUUGGUGCUGAUGCUAUGUUAUCUUCAUAUAUGUGAAUAAUUGUAACUUCAGGACCUACUUUUAGGAAGUAUACCAUGUAUUUUUAGUUAAUGACAAAGGCAUGACUUCUGGACUUAAACCAGGUCUGGAAUGCCUACUCUAAAACUUCUGGAUUACAUGAUGCUAGAAGAAUUAAUGUAACCUUUGGACCUGUGUUCUUAUCUAUAAACAUAUGUUCUAAAGUCUAUUUAGCACAAUACCUGAAAAACAAUAAAUGUUUAAUAGACA